UUCUGCUUUUCUCUCAUUUAUUUAUUUGUUAAUUCAAUCAUUUAUUUAUAUCAGUAUGGGCUCAUGGAUAUAUAUGCUAUACUUUUAGUUAUGUUUCAAUGCUACAUCAUUUAUUUGGUUGCUCAAAUUUUUCCAGCUUUGGACCUGGGAGCCCACUCAAUGGACUCCUGCUCCCUGUGACAUACGCACUCAUCACUGUGUGUGUUUCUCGGCACUUCCUUACUUACAGGUACUAAGAGAUGCUCCAGGCCCUUCUUGCAUAUUUCCUGUUCCAGCCUUAGAAUCAGCCAUAUUUCCAAGGAGCUGCAGUUUCUUUUAUUAGAGAAUGGUGUGAGGAACCAAGAUCUGGGCAUUGAAUGUGUAAGCUGGGUUUUAAAGGACAGUGGACAAUAGAAAGGAACAGGAAUGGCAUUUGGAGUAGAAAGCUUGGCAUAAGCAAGUAUCCUGAGAAUGAAGAAAAUGAAUUCUAUGUGGGGAAGAGCAUAUACCUAGAUGGAAGCAUUUACACUGGUGAAAUAAAUCUUUCAGGCUUUAGGUCCAGACUGAAGUGUAAUAUUAUCCCAUCCCCCAACCCAUUUAUUCAUCACCUUUCUUCACAAUAGCUUCACCUUUUACCCAUUAGCUAAUGCAAAAGUCCUGGGAGCUAUUCUUUACUUCACUCUCCCUUUCCACUCAUAUGCAAUCAGUGAAAAAUAUUUCUUGAUUCUGCCUCCCAAUAAUUUUUAAACCUGUCUUCCACUGUCCAGAGCCACAUCUCCUGGCCAGGUACCUUCAAUGGUGGGUAAACCAGUUCCAACAUCCCUGGCAGCGUCUUCUCCCUGCAGCAGCCUUGCCACCUCUGGUGGUAUUCUCUACCAUGAUCAAGGCCAUUGGGCUUCCCAUUGAGUUUAAGGUGAAGCCUUCUGAGGCUGAUGGGCUGGGUGUGAUCUUUUCCUCACCAACCUGUCUACCUGACUCUCUGUUUUUGUAACCUGAGAUCCCACAGCAAGAUCUUCCAUCACUCCUCAAUCAAGCAUUGCAGUGGGACCUUUGGAGGAUGUGGCCUUUGUCCAGAUGCUUUUGCCUUAUCUGGCCUGGCUACCUGGUAUGACUAACUUCUUUCCAUUUUUGUUUUGCUGUCACUGCCUUGGGAAGACUUGUUUGCUCCAUGGUCAAGUAUGAUCCUCAAUACAGAUUCUCACACCAUACUAGGAGAAAAUGGGCCCAUAUUUUCAAUUUGUUGAUUCUAUUUAAAAUUUAUUCAGUAAAUACUUGCUCAGCAUUUAACUGUAUACUAAGAGGGUGUUCAAGGCGCUAGGCAUAGAGCAAUGAAAUGACAGAGUAAGAACCCCCUCCUCUUGGAGCUUAUAGUCCGAUGAGGAAGGCAGAAAACGUGUUGAGCAUUCAUCUGAAAAUCCAAAAUCUCAAAGGCUCCAAAAUCAAGCUUUUUGAGUGCCAGUGUCGCAGGUAGAAAACUCCACACAGAAUUACUUAACACAAACUUUGUUUUACACACAAAAUAUUAAACAUAUUUUAAUAUGAAGAUAUAUAUGAAACAAAUGAACUUUGUGUUUAGACUUAAGUUCCUUUCCCAAAAUGUCUCAUUUAUGUGUAUGCAAAUAUUCCUAAAUCUGAAAUCGCAAGCGCUUCUGGUCCGAGGCAGUUUGGAUAAGGGAUACGCAACAUGUAGCAAAUACAUAAAUAUGAUAUUUAGUAUAUCUGGAGCUGAUAAAUACUGUGGAGGAAAAAGGCAGGGGAGGCCAACAGGUGUGCAUGGAGUUGGGGGAGUCUUACAUUUACGUGGGUUGAUCAGAGAAAGCUUCAUUCAGAAGGUCGAUGCAUAAGCAAAGACUUGAAGGAGGGGAAGGAAGAACCCAUGCAGGUAGGAGGGGAAGAGCAUUCCAGGCAGAGGCCUGAGGGAGAGGUCGUGCCUGAUGAGCUCCAGAACAGCCAAGAAAUUUGAGUUUGAUAUGCCUGUGAAGCACAGAGGUCUAGAUAUCCAGUAGACAAUUUAUGCAUGACCUUGAGUUUAGGGUUGGAAACUUCAGGCUGGAAAUUGGGAGUUGUCACCUACAGAUGGCAUCUGAAGACAGGAGACUAGAGGAAGUCUCAGGAGGCUAAAUGUUCAGUGGCUGAGCUCUGGGACACCUGAGUUCUUUAGACUCAGAAGAUGAUAGUGGACCAGCAAAGGCACUGAAGAAUAGCUCGGAGGAAAACCAGGUAGGUCUGGUGUCCUGGAAACCACAGGAAGAAUGAGGAAGUGACCCACUACUAUUAAUUAGUACCAUCAUGUACAUGGGCACAUGUAUUUACAAUGUGCCCAUCACUGUUCUGAGUCUUGUAUGUAUAUUAACUCGUUACAUCCUCAUAAUCCCUAUGAGGUAUUUUGUUUUAUUAUCUCUGCUUUGCAAAUGGGAAGUCAGGCCCAGAGGUAAAUAAACUUGUCCAGUCACAUAGCUCACAAGCACUGGAGCUGGGGUUUGAAUCUGGACCAUCUAGUCUCAGGGUCAUUGGUCUUCAGCACCACAUCAUGUGUGCCCAAACACUGCAGGUGCAGGUGGAAAAGCUCAGCGCUGAGACGAAGCACUGUGGAUAUCUUCGGUGAGCUUAAAAGAGAAGCUUGGAGUGAGUCCUGGAGGAGAUAGAAUGAUUAGGGGCAGUCGAUGAGGCACGGGAGGAGAGAUGGUGAAGAUAGCAGCCAGAGACAACUCUCAUGAAUAGCUUGGCUGUGAAGGGGAGUGAGAAACGUUAGGAAGACUACAGGGAGAUGUGCAAUCAAAGAGGAAUUUUAGGAAGAAUGUUAGAAAUUAUGGUAUGUUUGUAGAUGGGUGGGACUGAAAGGGUAAAAAGGAAAAGAAUAAUGACCUAGGAGGAGAGAAGGUGAACCUUGCAUUUGUAACUGUGAUCUAGAGAAGAGAGAAUGUGAACCCUGCAUUUGUAACUGAAAAAUUAUUUGCUGAGCUGCUUAAUGUCAGUGAUCUCUGCCAAAGUAUAAACUGCUAGGGUUGGGGGAUUUUAGAUUUCCAGGUGCUGCUGUGGCUCCAUGUGCUCCACGUCCUUGCCUGGUGAAUGGGGGAAGGAAUCAUGCCACUGAUGAAGGUCAAAGCAGGGCUCCUGGUGCCCUGAACCUCCAUACCUUCCUGCCCCACCGCUGCCUGCAGACCCAGCUUUCUGCUCGCAGCCUGGGCAUGCCUUCUGCCUGUAUCCUCCCAUGAAGGCCAACUCCAAACCCACCAGGCAUUGCUGAGGAGUAAGUGGGAGGGAGAAGUCACAUGGCACAGGAUGCCGUGAAACUGCCCCAGAGCCCUUGGAAGUCUCCCCGGACAGCCACUUCACGCCUUUCCCUGGUUCCCAAACCUCAGUCCUGCCAGCUGCCUGGGCUCUACCUCUAUGCCACUGCUCCACAGGCUGCUUGGCUCUAUUCUCACUGCCCUUUGUUUCCCAGCCUUGGGUCAGGGACAGACCUCCAUCCAUUUCAUGGGAAGACUCCCUAAGGCCCAGAACUUCUCCAUCUCAGAGGGAUGAAUGGUGGUCAGCAGAGAUGCUUUCAGGAGUGAGGGAUCAGAGGCUCUGGGAAAUGCCUCACCAUUUCACAGAAGCCCUUUUCCUUCUGCCAACCCCCCAGGGGCAUUUAUAAAAUUCCAGAGUGAGAUUGAGAAGCUGAACUAACUCACCUGCAGGGCUGGGUCUCCCCCACCAGGCAGCCACAAUAGCCUGCAAGGCAUCUGCUGAGUGUGGGAGAAAUGCUGCUUUUCAACGUAGGUAUGAGGGCAGAACUCAUGCGUGUUUGUCAAAAAGGCCUCCCACAGUUUUUGAGGCAUCACACAUACACCUACUCACACUCCCCCAUGGAGGCAUGCUCUCCUCUCUCACACACGCACAUGCACGCAGGGACUCACACAUAUCACUCAUCAUGCCUCUCUCCCCUCCCCACACCGAGCUACCCUGCCGGCAGCACAGAGUGAACAGCGCCGUGCACCCAUCUGGGCCUGACCUGCCUACAUUGUUAGCCUAAAAUACUUGUGAGUAUAUAUACAGCAUGGUAAGGAACUAAUUUUUGAAGCCAGUGUGGGGGCUCCAGGGCACUCCGCCAUUUCCUCUUUUCCCUAAAGCUGUUAAACUAAAUUAUAGGGCUGGGAGAAUGAGAGGCCAGCUGUGCUUCAGCUGCAGGCCCCAGUUGUUGUGACAAAGUGAAAAGUGUGGGUACCAACAGAUCAUUAACUGUGCAGCCAAAAAUAGGCUGAUGAUUGGAUCUCACGCUCUGCUCUGAGGAGACCGUGGACCCAACUCUGGCAGGUGCUGGUUCUAGCCCAGGAUGGCACUGACUCUCACAGCCAAAGGGGCAUUGACAAUUGCCCCUAACACACCACCUCACGUUCUUCUUACUUCAUUACAUAAGGGCAAGUUUUAUUUUUUUAUAAACUGUUCUUAAAAUUGACAGGGGUUUUUGUCUCUGUUUUGGUUUUGUUUUUAAAAUUUCCCCACAAUUUCCUGUUGCCUUGCCUCUUUGGCUGAGUUCGACUUUCCUGUUGACUAUAAUUACUGCGAGUCUGGUGAAGAGUUGAAAAAUCUAAGUUGACAUUAAAGGUGCAUUACACUUGAAUAAACCCAGAGACAGAAUAUCACACGUUGGUUUGGAGUUGCCCCUGUGUUUUGUCUAGAUUAACAAAUUUAGACGGCUUUUGAUUUGCAUAGCAUUAAUAACUGCUGGGGCAAUCUCUGGAACUUGUAAACACUGCUCAUAAAUAGUCGCUAAAGUGUGAGGUUGAAUAAACAUUACCUCGAUGGUUUGUGAAGGACUGGCCAGCAUGAAACCAAAUUGUGCUUUGAAAUAAGACCUUUGUCAUUGGGAAGGAGUGGAGAGAAAACAGGACUGGGACACUAAACAGUAGCUACUUCAAUUUCUUGACUGCUUAGCAAUCCACAAGUGACCAGAAACGGUUGACAUCAUCUGUGGUGCCUCAGUUUCUCUCUCAUUAUUUGUAAACUGGCAAUCAUAGUCUAGAAGACUGAUGUUUUAUGCAGUCACUUAUUCAUUCCAUGUUGGAAGAAGAACUGAGAAUAUUUUUUUGGCUGCAGCCUUGUCACGUGAACGUACAAAUUUUGACCUUGAAGAAUCCAUAGACACCUUCCAGUUCUGCGUCAUUUUACACAGGGGGCAUCCCAGGCCCAGGGAGCUGCAUGGAGCUGGUUAGGCUCUCUGCUGCAGACCAAGCAGAGGCAUCAUUUCUCAAGGCUUCUGUCAUCUGUGGCUAUCAGCUUUGCUAUCAUGACUCACAUUUGCAACCUGGCCUAUUUUCCGGGCAAAUGUGGACUGGCCUGGACUUGGCAGAGGCUCGUAGAGGAGAUGUUUGCAAAUGAAGAUGCAUAAAAAGUUUAAAGCUUAAUGGAAAUUCAAAAUUUAAACUUACUUAGGAGAAAGGGUUUUAAUCAUACAACUUAGAAUAUUCUUCUUUCCACGCUUUCUGAGAUGUUGCUAAGUAAAGGAAAGCUAAUAGCCAGAGAAGAUGUAGGGAAGUGUUCCUGACCAGGCACUGGGGGCCCUGUCUUGUUCCUAACUAACUGUACUGGUCAUGAUAAUGUUUGCUGAGCAUUUACUAUGUGCUAGGAUUUUAGGUAAUGUGGUUAACCAUACAGUAUCUCAUUUAGACCUCACAAGGAAUCUUUGAGGUAAGUGCUGUUAUUGUCACUAUUUUAUAUUUUUAAAAAGUUCAAAGGAGGCUAACAUUCGCCCAAGGCCACAUGACUGGUAGUGCAACCAGGAUUUUAACCCUGAGAUUCUGGCAACCCGUGCUGCCUGUGCUUAUCUCUGUUUUGAUUCUGUCACUGAGAUGCCGGGCCUUUCAAGGUACCGUGCAGAUGCUUGGGCUGCCCAGCGCUGGUGAUUUCUUGUUGGGGAACACUCCGAUGAUUAACUGAAUGUCUUCGCUUCUUGUUCGUGUGAAGCACACAUGUGUUUGGGCACCGCGUGUGGAGGCUGUGGAAGGCUCCCAGAUGAGGGCACGUGGCACUCAGGGUUUGCCCACUUACCAUUUGAGCCAUCGACAGGCACGAGGAUGGGAAGUUGGGCCUCGGUGAAACGCCCUGGCUGGAAAUGCCUGGUCUGCUAAGCGGGGAAUACUCUGGGUUGAAGCACUUGUUUUGAUGACGUGUUUCACUGGUUGCAUCAUCAUUUAAAUAAUGACCAGUCUCAGGGCUUAUUUCUCAACAGAAUUCUAGUUUUCAGGUCUGUAACGAUGGGCAGAUUUUCCAUGACACGACUAAAGUCCAACGCCAGUGCCACUUCUCCCAUGAUGCUUCCCGUUCUCUCUUGUGCCCACCGAGGCCCUGUGGCUUUUCCUUGAAACUUCCCCGUGGCCCUCAUCGCGUGCCUCAUCUUGUGUCACAGUUAUCUGCGCAGCAGAGAAAAAGGAGCACAGACCUCACAGACAGACAGAUUGGGCUCAACAUGCACCUGGGCCUUGAGGAGAAUCUGCCUGUGCAGGGAGGCUCACAUGCUGACCGCGAGCAGACGGAACAAUCCUCGUUUGUUCAUGGAGAAACAAGACCACGGGUGACUCUGGGUAACUGAGACCUCAGGAAGUGAAACCUCAGAUAAAGGUGUAAUUUUUCUGAGCUGUUAAAAAUAUAACUGGGAAGAUAAACAGAAACUCCAAGAAUAUCUUAUCUGCGUUGAUCCACCAGUGUGUGUCUGUGACGGAGGCCUGAAUUGUAUGCUGCCAUGUGGGUGGCCAGAGAGAAGGUGAGCCUACGGUGGAGAGCAGUCCUGUGGUAGGAUGACAGGGAGGAUGGAAGCAGCACUGGAGACCUGGGAGAACUGGGAUGCCUGUUUGGAGAGAGGGUGUGGCGUUGGGCAGGUAGGUAGAGGGAAGGUCUCUGUUCAGCAGCAUAGCACAGCACAGGGGACACGACCCAGAACUAGGGCCAUGUGCUAUGAACUGAUGGGCAGCUCUAAUUACUUUUCUAAAUUUUGGGCCCAGUGACAUUUUCUUUCCUGCCCCAUGGGUCAGGUUGGUUUUAGAAGUGAGACAUUUAUUUUAUUCUCCUUCAAAAACAAACUUUACAUCAUUGAUCUGCCACUAAAAAAUGUUUGUGUAAAAUUCCUGCCUCGAAGCCAGUGCCUGUGACUCAGAUGGCGUGCAUUUCAAAAGUCUCUCAACAUAAUUUCACAUAAAAAAGAAACAUCUUACGUUGGGCCAACUCUGCUGAAACCAACUGCCUUGUAUCACUAAUAUGUAGCUGGAUUGAUUCAUGAUGUACAUCUUCAAAGACCUGGAUAAUCAUCUUUGUUUGCAAAUUCCUUAUUAACAUGGAGAUAAAUGCUAUCAUAAAUUUGAACUUUUAUAUUAUGAGCUGAAUUUUUUGGUCUUUAAAAUUUAUUUCCAGAAUAUUCGAUAGCAUGACUCUAAGGCUGGAUGGCUCUUUCCCAACUGGACACGGUUUGAGAUUUUUUUGUCUCCUUUUUCUUCAUGCGAGAUGAUAAACACUUAAUAAGAAGAUGGAACUUAUGGAAAGUAGCCAGAAGAAAAUAGCAUUCUACCGAUGGAAUUCCACUUCAGAUGCUGUGCUGGAAAGAAAUCCUCAUCCUGGGCUCCUUUUGCCUUUUGAUGAUGGCUUUAAAAACUGUGAAAACAGCGAAAGCCAAGUGUGUGGUCUUCAGCAAUUUCGUAAUAGUCUGUGCAGGAGACAGAGGGGGCGGUGGUUUGCUGGAAAAAAUGAUUAACUUUUUCUUUACGAUGACAGAAAACAGUUGCAAUUCAAAAAUGCCGAGGUUUCUGCAGCCCUCCCUUUUGGCAAAUUGUUAGGUAAUCACUUCUUCCAGGUGGCACUUUCAAUAAAGACCUUGGAAAGUCACGCCCCUUCCAGAGAUGUCCUCAGGGCAGAGCCAUUGUCAACUGGGAGAAACUUGUAGAAUGAGUGAGGGCAGGGUUAGAGGAAAGGCUCUAAAUUUUUCUUGUUGGGGGUAGCGGGGUAGAUUUGCUGUUGAUUUCCCAGAGUGGGUUCCCAUGCCUCAGUCUUGGUCUAAUGCGCGUUACAGUCUGCCUCUCAGCUUCUCCAGCAGAACCAAGGGAACCCUCCUCACAUCCUAUGAUUAUAUUUGUUAUUAUUUACUUUAAGUUAUCCCAGGAAGCAGCAGGCCCACCCUAAUUGAGAGGUCUGUCCACAUACAAGUCAGCUUAGUAAAACAGGUUCUAAUUAAGUAAUUACCUUGAUUAAAAUAUACCAACCAUUUUUACUUUUUAAUAAACAUUUCCCAAGACUGGAUUUUAUCCUGUUAUUUUGGUAGAAAUUUGUUUAACCUGGUGUGGAACUGGAACCCAGAGCUAACACUGUCCACCUGUGGAUAUGUGUGGUUUCCCUUAUUUGUAACAUGGAGUAGAAACAUAGCAGAUGCUCUGCAAGGUGCAGGAAAAGCCAGGUGCAUCUAUCAGGUCAAUUCAAAGUUCCUUUUUGAGUACAGUGCUGGACUUAGGUCAUGUAGAGGCAUAAAAGCCAAUUUAACUGUGCACAGUCCAGUAAGGGACAGACAUUUGCAAAAGUAUAUCAAUACAUGAUGCAAAUGUUAAGCUAGAGUUACGCACAGGUGCUCUAGAUAAUUGUGACAUUUGAAGGCAUGUAUUUUGACUACAUUGGUCAUUCCUGUGGUAAACUGACAAGGAUUGAGCCCUGCUGAGGUACAUGGUCCUUGCAGACACUUGAGUCCUGGAUAGUAUGCAAGUAGAUAAAAGAGAAUCCCUGUGACUCUACCCCAGUGACUCUACCCCAAGUCGUCAAGAUGUGGGCAUCACCUGACUCCAUCUGGUCAGCCUCCUAGCAGAGGAGGCCCUUUUCUGUUGCUGAAUUUACAACUGCUUCAUGCCCAUUGGCUCCUUGGAAAUUCAAUCCCAAUUCAUCUAAAACUCCUCAGGGUCAAAAUAGUUCCUGAAAAUGAAUUUUGCUGAAGCUUGCUUUUGGGUGCCUGUGACUUCAAAUCCUUAUCCUCUGCAUCUUCAAGAUUCUGGUCUGGUUACUUAGGCAAAUUUCUCAGUAGCUCUGGAAAAUUCGCAACGAUUUAAACCAUUUUUUUUCUUUAGCCUCUCUGGGACCUAUGACUCUUUGCAUGUUGAGGUUUUGAAUUCCUUUGCAUGACAAAUUCUCUGGUGGUUACAACAGAGAAGAAGGAAGAGAGGUGAUCAGGGUCUCAUGAGGAAAACCAUACCUAGAUAGUUUGCUCAAAGAGAGUGCUGUUAAUUCAAAGAGGCUGGUCUUCCUGAGAGAUUCCUUAACCCAAGGCAAUUCAAAAGUUGGUGUUUGAGUGUGCGAGAGAGGCCCCAUGUUAUGAAGGCAUGUCAGAAAAAUGAUUAUGGCUGGGUAUUAACUUGAGAUCUAGGCUGUGAAAGAACAGUAGGUUUUUUUUUUUUUUUUC
rnacentral:lncRNA from 1 species